rnacentral:lncRNA from 1 species
AUGGUAUACACAGGACUUGAAUUAUACAUAUGCAAGCUGGGAGCGCUUCGAAGAUGCAGCCAGCCAGAACAGACACCGUGCCUCACGGAGUGCUUCCCCACUCACAUCCUACCUGCAGGUCCAAAAAAGUUCCCUGUGGAAGUGGAUGGGACGACUGCCAUCCUGCAGCCAGGCUGCGUCGACCUUGUACAGAGCUCAGCCAGUGAAGCCCGUUACUGUCAGAGAGCUGCUCACCACCAGCUUGUAGAAUUUCCAAGAAAAGAAGUGUAUGGUCCACGCUGUCCUAUCUCCAUCAGUCCAUUUGAAAAAGAACUUGUGAUUUACAGUGGAUAAUGAAAGACAUGUCAGAGUCACCCAGGCUCUUCUGUAGUCUCACAGACCGUUGUUCCAGGACCUGGGAGCAAAGGCCAUGGCAUCCAUUCCUCAGAUUCCCAAUGUUGUGCACAAAAAUUAAACAUCAUAUAUAUAUUUAAAAAUUGGCUUUAAAACCCCUUCAAGAAGCCAAAAAUAAUACAGAAAAGGAGAGCUUUAUUUUUCUUUCUGUCUGUUCAUUCUAUGUCUCAUGAUAAGAAGAGGAAAAUCUUUUGUUGGAUUCUGCAGCAAUGUUUUGGCCAACAGUGUUAAUUGUUUUCUUUACUUUUAAUGAAACAAACUGCCUUGGGCUGAAGCUGAAUCUCUCUAAGCCACACAAGUGAAGAUUAACUUCUUGUCCUUCCUCUUUUGCAAAACUGUCAGAAAAAUAUCACUUCCCUUUUCCAUUUCCUCCUUAAAAUGUUGUACACCUCCUUGCUCAGCAUCCUUCUCAGUUCAGAGCUAGAGAGACACACAGCAGAGUCACAGCUUCGUUUGCCUGGACCAAUGCAAAAGGACAGGACAUUCCCACUGCAUUUGAAGCAAGAUUGCUCUCAAGGUUCACACACCAAGCAGAAGAUCUUUUCUCAUUUCAGAAGAGGAGCCAGGAGCAGAUCAUUUGAUGAGCUGAUAUUAGGAACUGGUAGCAGCGCAACAGGCUGAUGCCACUGUAGUACCGUCUGUGAAGUCUUUUAACAUGCUAGCAUUCACUUUUUUAAAGCUCCUUCCUACACAAUAGCACACAAUCCUUCAGCUUUUUCACUCAGUAAUCCAUUGUAAGCUAACUGGAAAAAAAAAUAGAAAAAAUAUUGGGAAGCUCUACAGCAGAAGUGCUGUGAGUCUUGUAGACUGGACUGCACUCAGGCAGAUGCUAAGUGGGCUAAAGACAGUAUUGCUUGCAAGAAAGUUCCAUAAAGUGAUCAGACUGGGAUCAUCAAACAACCUGUGGCAUCCAAGAGAACACUGCUAAUAUCCCAUGAUU